rnacentral:rRNA from 1 species
AUACGGAGGGUGCAAGCGUUACUCGGAAUCACUGGGCGUAAAGCGCGCGCAGGCGGGCUGAUAAGUUGGAUGUGAAAGCCUACGGCUCAACCGUAGAACUGCAUCCAAAACUGUCAGUCUAGAGUGUGGGAGAGGAAGAUGGAAUUAGUUGUGUAGGGGUAAAUCCGUAGAGAUAACUAGGAAUACCAAAAGCGAAGGCAAUCUUCUGGAACACUACUGACGCUGAGGCGCGAAGGCGUGGGGAGCAAACAGGAUUAGAAACCCGAGUAGUCC